rfam:Caenorhabditis briggsae complete genome, chrIV
ACCUGUGUAGUACUCCACGUUGUGGCCGUGGCGACGCUGGUUCGAUUCCAGCAGCAGGCA